UACGUAGGUGGCGAGCGUUGUCCGGAUUUACUGGGCGUAAAGAGCGCGCAGGCGGUCGUACAAGUCGCGUGUGAAAGCCCCCGGCUCAACUGGGGAGGGUCACGCGAUACUGUUCGACUCGAAGGCAGGAGAGGGUAGUGGAAUUCCCAGUGUAGUGGUGAAAUGCGUAGAUAUCGGGAGGAACACCAGUGGCGAAGGCGGGUCUCUGGGCCGAUACUGACGCUGAGGAGCGAAAGCGUGGGGAGCGAACAGG
rnacentral:rRNA from 1 species